GAGGCCGUUUUAUCAACAGAUCUUAGCAUGAUCUUACGUAAGAUUCGUAGGAUUUUGUCGUACGCUUAUCGUAAGUACUGCGUACCGUUUUAUCAAAGAAAUCGCAGCUAAGAUGUCGUAAGAUUUGUGCUUAAAGCUACGACUGGGUAAGACCACACUUAGCGUUCGUAAACAUGGCGGCCGCACGCGCUUUAAACGUUGGUCAACCAAGAGAGAUGAGAAUGUUUCGAGAAAGAAAGGAUUUAGCGAUCUCCGUGAUGGAGAAAUAUUGAUACUAUUGGACGUAUUUAUGUUUGAUAACGUUAAAUAUAUUCGUUAUAUCAUUCUCUGCAUUAAACGUCCAAGGGAAAUGAAAUUUGUGAUGUUUGGAUAAUUAAUUCGUUAAAUAGGUUCAUUGAGAUUGUGUCAAAAUGGCUUGGGUCAACACACACGACGCCUCUGUCUUUGUCCGUGGUUUGAAGACUUUUCUGGAAGAAAACCACAAGAGACACCUACUGGGGGACUCCGGCUAUCAACAAUAGGUACAACAAUGCCCAGUCAAGUGUACUGUGGUUGAUAGGGCUUUUGGACUGCCAAAGAGUAGAUUUAGGUGUCCGCAUAAAACUGGCGGUUGUUUAUUCAUGAGACUCGAUGAGUGCUGUCAAGCAGUGGCUGCAUGAAUGCGCCUGCAUGAAUGCGCCUGCACAACUUAUGCAUAGAUUAGCAGGUGCCACUGCCUGAACAACUUACUUAGGCACAAGAAGUGGAUGACGUUGUGCACAGUCCACAACAGGACCAAAAU